rnacentral:rRNA from 1 species
UGGGGAAUCUUGCGCAAUGGCCGAAAGGCUGACGCAGCGACGCCGCGUGGGGGAUGAAGGUUUUCGGAUCGUAAACCCCUGUUGCCCGGGACGAACAGCUUCUUUCGAGGAGCCUGACGGUACCGGGUGAGGAAGCACCGGCUAACUCCGUGCCAGCAGCCGCGGUAAUACGGAGGGUGCGAGCGUUGUCCGGAAUCACUGGGCGUAAAGGGCGCGUAGGCGGCUGGGAAAGUCGGUGGUGAAAGCUCGCGGCUCAACUGCGAGUCGGCCAUCGAUACUUCUCGGCUCGAGUCGACUAGAGGCAGAUGGAAUUCCGGGUGUAGCGGUGGAAUGCGUAGAGAUCCGGAAGAACACCGGUGGCGAAGGCGGUCUGCUGGGGUCGAACUGACGCUGAGGCGCGACAGCGUGGGGAGCAAACA